UACGGAGGGUGCGAGCGUUGUCCGGAAUCACUGGGCGUAAAGGGCGCGUAGGCGGCGCGGGGAGUCAACGGUGAAAGCUUGGGGCUCAACCCCGAGUCGGCCGUCGAUACUCCCGUGCUUGAGCACUGUAGAGGCAGGUGGAAUUCCGGGUGUAGCGGUGGAAUGCGUAGAGAUCCGGAAGAACACCGGUGGCGAAGGCGGCCUGCUGGGCAGUAGCUGACACUGAGGCGCGACAGCGUGGGGAGCAAACAGG
rnacentral:rRNA from 1 species